rnacentral:rRNA from 1 species
CCUACGGGUGGCUGCAGUGGGGAAUAUUGGACAAUGGGGGGAACCCUGAUCCAGCCAUGCCGCGUGUGUGAAGAAGGCCCUCGGGUUGUAAAGCACUUUCAGUGAGGAAGAACGCCUGGUGGUUAAUACCCAUCAGGAAAGACAUCACUCACAGAAGAAGCACCGGCUAACUCCGUGCCAGCAGCCGCGGUAAUACGGAGGGUGCGAGCGUUAAUCGGAAUUACUGGGCGUAAAGCGCGCGUAGGUGGCUUGAUAAGCCGGUUGUGAAAGCCCCGGGCUCAACCUGGGAACGGCAUCCGGAACUGUCAAGCUAGAGUGCAGGAGAGGAAGGUAGAAUUCCCGGUGUAGCGGUGAAAUGCGUAGAGAUUGGGAGGAAUACCAGUGGCGAAGGCGGCCUUCUGGACUGACACUGACACUGAGGUGCGAAAGCGUGGGUAGCAAACAGGAUUAGAUACCCGGGUAGUC